UGAUUAAGAUAUGUUCUUAUUUUCAUUUCUUUAAAUUAUUACAUGAUCUAUUCUUUGCUUCAUUAUGCUUUUUCAAAGAUUAGCUUCUGAUGUUAACUGCAGAAAUGAGUCUAAGCUUACAUGAAGGAAAAAGGAGAACAAAUAUACAGGUGAAAGGUUCUGCUCCUACAAAGCUUUGUGAAAUAAGUGGGAGUUUGACCACUGGCUUCUCUGGUAGCCCUCCCUGUAGAGCGCAAGAAUGGUAUGUGAAGAUGGGGACAGUCUCUCUCUCUCUCUCUCUCUCUCUCUUUCAUGAUAGACACCAAUGUAUAAUUCACCACUCACAAACCCAAACCCUGUGACGAAACUUGCAGCAGUAACAUCCUUUGGAACCAUGUACAGAGAAUUCCACUGCAAGUCUCCAUGGUCUGCUGCCCUAUCCCCAAGGGAAGGUUGUAUAUGUUGUUUGAUACAUGCCACGCUUCUUCCUUUGGCUGCCUCAAUGGCCAUGACCCAACCGGCUGUGCAUUACAUGCAUGAAAACAAUAUCCUAAACAUGCAUGUAUAAACACUCUGUAUACUGCUUAGAUCUGAGUGCAAAACAGUACGACGAGUGUACAAAGUGGAGGUGUUGUUUUCUUCUGCAGACGGUACCCUCUAUUUAAGUAGAAGAGGCCGAAGAACUGAGCUGCCAACCCCCACGGGUAUAACGGGAGAAGUCUCCACGAUUCACCCUUCCUUCUAGCUUUCGUCAGAUCUCUUCCCUCUUCCUCUGCUUCUCCCUCUCCAUUGUUCUUCUUGGUUUACCUUCCUAGCCAUUGUUGCCCAGAAUCAUCAUCCAGAGAGAGCAGAAAAGAAGCCUGUUAUUAGCCGUUUGUUCCAUCUUACGCUAGUGUGUGAAGUGGUCAGGUCUGUGUACGUUGGUUUCUUUGGUAAAGAUGCUCUCUUUUGUCCAAGAGAACUGAUGAUCCAUUAAUGCGGGUUGGUGCACGGCAAUGAUCGAGGAGAUGUGGAUGGAUCAUAAGCAUCUGUAGAUCCAAGGAAGCUCCGUUAUUGCCAUCUUCCUUUGAGAGAGUAGUACUGCUUCGGUGGCCAUGAAGAAGAGAUGGGCUCGGGCAGCCCUGGUGGCGUGCUUGAUUCUAUUCUUCGCCGAUUCGCGCGGUUGCGCUCGAAGGAUCAACUGGAAGCACACCCACCAUCGUCACAAAGCGAAAGAGAAGACAUCAGCGAUGGAGUUGAGUGUGGAUACUGCCACCAUUCAUCGCCAUGGAUGCAGGUUGAAGAGGAACGGUGUCGAUCUCUGCGGCCGCCCCUUCACGCAGCCGAAGAAGAACGGGAGCUUGGUCGACGAAGACAAGCGGCUGGUGCCGACUGGUCCAAACCCUUUGCACAACAGAUGAAGAAAGCAUGAAGCAGCCGAAGAGUGAUGUGUACAGCUCACAGAAGACUUCUCAUCUGCAUGCUUCUUCUUCUUCUUAUUAUUAUUAUUAACUACAGUGAGUUCAUUCAGUUCUCUCUCUCUCUCUCUCUUCUAUUAUUUCUGACAGAUUUAUAUGAAGAUCUGAAACCUAGAGUUUAUCCAUCUCCUCUUGUUGCAAUCAUUUAUAUAUUCAGAUUAAACCUUUAGGUCUCAGAUGGAGGAGUUGUUUACGGAGGGAGUAAAGCCUCUUAACCACUUAACAUGUCAUUGCAAGUGAGACUUUAUAUAUAUAUAUAUAUAUAUAUAUAUAUAUAUAGAGAGAGAGAGAGAGAGAGAAGAAGGUAAAAGGUCAUAGAAAAGAGAAGAAGCAAGGAGAAAUGUAUCAGUUUAUUGGGUCGAAAGAUGAACAGGAUAUAUGUGGAGUUGAUAGGUGGGGGGAGUAAAUGGGGCUGCUUGUAUGUCUGCCACAAGUCAGCGGAGAGGCGGCAGGGGGGAAAGGACGGUCAGUGAGCACAUGAGGCCUCUGCACGGCUUGCUGCAGCUUAACUUGAAUGUAGUUGCUAUGGUCAACUUUACUCUCUCGUACACAGCCACACACACACACACACUCUCUCUCUCUCUCUCUCUCUUUCUCAUACGCAACACACGCGCACACACUGGCUUUGUCUGUCUCUCACAGACACAGGUAGGCACUGACUUCAUAGCUCGUUCUCUCUCUCCUUCACUCGUACACCCAGUCUCGGUCUCUCUCUCUCUCCCUCUCUCUCACACACGCAUUGACUCACAACUCUUGUCUGUAGAUGACUCCAUUUUACUGCCAAAUGAAGUUGAAGAGGGAUGGAGAAGAUGGUUGAUGACUCCAUCAACUUACGUUGGCCAUGGAUCACUUCAUGUUGGUUACCUUUUGUUCACUAAGAAAUUGAUUAACCAUCAUAUAAACUUCCAAAUGAGGGGCCACAAUAUAUUUCAUUUAAAAAUUGACUGCAUUUCCAUGAACUUUAUCUAAAACCGCACUCACAUAUGAUUUAGAUACUCUUCCAUAAUUUUAAAAGAAUUAUAAUUUAAAUCUUUUUUUAAAAAAUUAAAGAAAAAGAGAACAGAGGAGACGAUAAAAACGAAUUGAAGAAUAUUUAGCUCAAAAGUGAUGAGAACACUACGAAUAGAAAAUGUUAUUCCAUAUAAAAUCAAUAUUGAAGACUUCUUCCCAGUUAUAUAUUGUGUCUUCUUUGAAAGAAAAAUAGGUCCAGAUUGACAGGAAAACAAAAAGAAAACUGCAUAUUAUCUAAUGUGAAUAAACUUCAUAAACCUCAAAUUUGCAAGGUGAAGUAACAUAUUUUGUUUAUGGCAGACAUCAACAAACUCUAAUGUCAAAGAGGGCGGCCUGAAACAGGACAGGAAAUGUGCUUUCCAAGUAAGUUGAAAUUACAGAUAGCGAUUCUACAGCAGAAGCAAUAAAGAAUGUUCACAUCAGUCAGAAGCAUGAUUAUUCUGAAUCAAAUGAAUCGAACAGGAAGUUCAUUAAAACAAUGAAACUAAGAAGCAGUUGAUGAUACUGACUGAUCAUAAUAUUGUUAAGUUGAAGGAUGAAGAAGCCAUGACAAGAACCUCAAAAACUUUCAGAAGCUUGGCAUGUACAUGGGCCAUGGAGUGAAGGAAGAAUAGCUUUACUAUGGAGGGAAAUUAUCUGCAAAAAGGAUGUGUUGAAAUAUGAUGCAUCAGUAGAAGAGAGACAAGCUUAGGCAAGUUGAAAAUGAUUCUCAUAAAACUUGAAAGAAAAGAAUUUGGCAUGCAAGCAAAGUAAAUGUUCUUUGCUUGCAUUAAGAAGAAAAAAACUGCUUCUUUCCCAACACAGCCAUGGGUUCCGGUGCUGCUUCACUAGAAAAUGAUCAGACUUAUUGCAUGUGUUCCACAUGUAUGCACUAUACAAUCCACUUGCAAGUAUAUAAGAUUUAUAGGCCAAUGAGGUGCACUGAUUGCAUAAUUGUUUAUCUGUCCAGUUCAAUAUUCUCAAAUUCUCAUUGUUUCCAGAGCAAUAUAAUAAGAUUGUCAGGUUCAAGGCCAGCUCCAACCACAAAAGAACAAUCAAGUAUCACAAAACAGAUUGUACUCCAAGAAAUGCAUAGGUAAAAGAAACAUCUUUAACCAAGAAAUAUCUAGAUUAUGCAAGAACAUUAAGCAAUGCACUUUUUAGUAGACUAUGAUACUCUUGGAUUAAGUGUGGUACAAAGUGACAGCCAAAACCUGCAGAGAGCAGAUGCAGAAGCAUGGACCACAGGAAACUCCAAGUGGUAGUUCUACCUGCACUGGAAGAUUUUUAUUCAAAAAAAAAAGCAUUUCCCACUGUUAAUGGCCAGGAGGAACUCUUACCAUGGUCACUGUUGGACAGUUUAAACUAUUUGUACAGGGAAAGAAGAAACAAUAUUUGCAUAAAGAAGCACAGUCCUCACAGUGAUUGCUAAUCUAGUCAGCAAGAUUCCGACUUCAAAGAAGUAUAAUUCUUAGAGCAAGAAAAGAAUACUUUUGAUUGUAUUAACAGAAAAGAAUAGAUCAUGUAUAAUGUCUUGCAAGCCUCUGUAGCUCCAGUGUCAUGGACAAAACUUCAUACCAUCUCCAAUUGCAUGGAUGACUAGCUUUGUUAUGUUUUGAGAGCUUUCUUGCUCACAAUAUACGUUAAAAAGAAGUGAGUUUAGCAUAAUCUAAUUCUGAUAGUUUUACUCCCUCAACUGAAUCCCUCUUUCAGUAUACCGAUGUUGCAGAAAUCUAUAAGCCAAAUGAAUCAUGAGGGCAAGGCUUGGAUGUAGCUGUACUAAUUCAAUGCAUGUUGAGAUCUAAAUCAUAAGCAAAAAUACUAGAAAGCAUAUCAAAGGAUCAAAAGAAUGACACCAGUGGUCCUUAUUCUCGUUCAAGCUCUUUGCUCAGCAUUUUACACAAAAAAGGAAACCGACCUAAAUCAACUCACACUCGAGUGUUUCCUCUCUUGUAUUUCCUUAAACAGGCUAAGAUCACCAAUCCGCUCUCGUUAUCGCUCCAAUGGGUUGGUAUGUAGGAACGCAAGAUUUUUACUACACGCAAAGUAUUAGGACUUCAAAUAUGCAAAGAGAAUUGACGGGAGAGAAUGCAUUCAAAGACCAAUUGAGAGCAUCCACCGGAAGCACCUAAAGCUAAAUGAUUCAUGAAUUUCCAAUCCAACAGUAAUUUACUACAAUAAAUAACAGGAAACCUGAUUGAGCAUCAACAUAUGAGUGCAUUCAUUCUUUCCCGCACUUAUUGAAGAGAGAAAGCAAGUAACCAAGAAAUGUAUCAAUAGCAGAUGAAGACAUGAAAUCCCCUUCAGCUCCAAGCAUCUCUCAGUGACAGAUUAUUAUCUACAUAGCCUAAAAAACUGGGCUUUUUAACACAACAUCUAAAAAUCGCACCUUUUUCGACAAAGAUCAAGAGAAGAGAGCCCUAACCUUCGUCGUCGCCGUCCUUGCCCACCCCCGACCUUGAUGGCUUCGCACCCGAGCACCGAUCAGGGUGGUGUUGGUGAUGGUGGUUGACCUUCGCCGGUCCCCAAAACCCUGUCUUUCCGGCCUCCGUAGCCUUGGGUUUAGUCUCCACAUAGGUGGCCGAGCUCAUCUCCAUCUGCGCCACCCGGACAGCCCCCAGGAGCCGCUCCGGCAGCUCCUCCUCCGCCUGAGCCUCCACCAGGAACCCCAUGUCGAUGGUGACCGCCGUCACGUAGCCGAGGGCGAGGUGGAGGAUGGCAUUGGCGAUGGCGGAGCUCCCGAUGUCGACGUCGAUCUCGAGGUAGUUCUCCCCGCGGUGGUAGUUGCAAGUGAGCGCCUUGCCCAGGAGGCAGGCGGCGUGGUUCCCGACGGCGGCCCUCACGAUCCAUGGGCCCUUCACGAUCCGAUUCACGAUCUUGAACCGCGAGUUCCGGAAGGCAUCGUCGCCGUGGACAAAACGGUAGAAGAGGGAGCCCGGCGGGAUGGGCUCCACAGCGGCGAAGUAGAAGACGGCGGAGUGGCACUCGCGGCCGGGGACCUGGAGGUUGACGGCGAAGAGGAAGGCCUUGCGGGCACCGCCGAGGGCUUGGGUGCGGCGGAGGGCCGCGGCGACGCGGUUGUCAGGGCGGCCGAGGACGUCGUCCAGGCGGGAGGCGGAUCGGAGCCAGUCGACGCCGGCGGGCUCGAGGAGCCACUCGCCGGAGGGGCACUUCUGGCGGCGGGCGAAGUAGUUGAGGCCGCGGAGGUGGAAGAGAUCCCCGGGCGGGGAGGCCCAGCCGUUGGUGCCCGUGUCGAGGUCAACGUGUCGAAGGGACCCGCCCUCGAUCGCCUCCUGCCGCCAGUCGUAGCAGGGGUCCUCCGCGGCCCUCGCGGGCUCUGGCGGAGGCGGCUCUCCUCCUCUUUGGCCGGCUGUGUCAGCAGGUUUUUUCGUCGUCGGGCACAUCUCCGCCGAUGACGCCUUCACCGUCUUCUCCCCCUCCCUCCUCGUCCAACCAAAACGGCAGGCAAAUAUUUGUAGAAGGCGACGCCGUGUGCUCCGCGAUGGGAGCCAAGAACGGCACUUCAUAUUGCCAUCGGAGAUGGCAUUAAUCACGACAAAUUACCAUUCGUUUGGGAUUAGCCGUCUUAUGUAAGAUAAAAGUCAAGCUUAUCCCAAACUUACAGUGUCGCUCAAAAGCUGGGUCCCACCACCAACUGUAGGGUCACGGCUAAAAACUCCCAUGAGAAACGCUGAUUCGAUGAUUGCUAUUCUGGAGGAGACUUGCGAUUGAAGUCCUUGUUACCGAGGAAGCUGAACCCUGUACGGCCCAAACAGCUGAGCGACACCGGCCGACCACUGGCGUCAUCUGUCCAUCGAUUACCACAGAGAGAGAGAGAGAGUGACACGGGAAGCAAGUGGCGAAGCCGGAGAUCGGAUGUGAAGUAGGACGUACACAACGACAAUAUUGGCUUACCAGGCUCUGCCACGUUUCCCGCCUCUCGAAGGCAAUGGUCAGCUUCUCGACACGCGAUGGGAAUGAGUUGGUUACGGACUUCUUUACUUCAACUACUACCCACAACAUGUUCGACGAAAUGACCUUCCCCCACUCAAACUCAUGCUAUGCGUACUUCCACUGCGCACACGUCUCGACGCAGGCCAAGCGCUGCGUGCGUGCUUCAUAUGUGGAUAAAGAAUGCUUGCAGAGCUACACAGCAGAUCUGAUUUCGGGGAUACUGCAUCAUUUUCUAAUUACUGAUACAGCUACUGCCUGCAGUGCCGAAUACUGUGGAUGUUGCAGGUGGAUGGUUGCGUAUGAUGGACUCUUGCGAGUUAUUGUGGAGCGGAAGUGGAUGAUGAUGCAUCGAACGGGGGUGGAAGAGGACAAAACACCAUCACGUCCCUCACAUUGAUGUGGGUGGUUCCGCUUUCCCCUUGGAAGGCGGUGGUGCGUCUGCUUGUGGCUUUCUGCUGCAUCCUGGGCUGGGAGCCGUGCGGACCGAAACGAGGCGACGCAAACGAGAAAGCUGAUAAGACAGGCCUGACAAAGAAAGCGUAGAAUUGAGACUGCGAUGGAAGAAGAAGAAGGGAGAGUGCUUAAUGUGAUGGUUGGAGUACUGCGUUGCAUUGUGAUGGUUGGACGGGAAAGAUGAAUGGUACUGCUACUGCUGCUACCAAGAUCGGCUGGCAUGCAGUGGUCACUUCCCUCAUGGUCAUCACAUAACAAUUCAAUUGGUGGUGCUCUCCAAGCUCUGCACACAGCAAUCUUUGACAGCUCCUUGUAGCUUGGACUGGCGUUCUUCAAUCACGCCAUGAGUGCUUGCUCUCUCUGAAAUAAACACAAGCUGGUAUCACAUCAUUGUUCAUGAAAAGUAGAACAGUGCAAUCGUGCAGACAAGUACGGUGGUCAACAUAUUGCAAAAGCUCAUAUACCCCUCUUUGAAGUUGAGCCACAGGAGCUCUUAGAUUCUUGGCUUAGUGAUGAUCUUUAAGACCAGCUGCAUGCAUCUCAUGGAUUGCAUAAAUCCACAAAAGAAACUUCAUUGACAAAGGAAGUAUCAUAAGAACAAAAAGGCAAAUUACAACAUUAAUUACAAUAGGAAUCAAAAGAAUGGAGUCAAGUCAUGAACUUUUCUUUGAUUGAAGCAAACUCAAAACAAUUGAUUAUAAGAAGUAUAUAAGCAAGGGAUGACUUGUUGACUGUGAUCAUCUCCCUUGCAAAGCAAACCUGAAGCUAACAUACUGCAGCAUCAUCCAAAUGAGUAUUGUUAAGCAAAGCUACUGUUCAACCCAUUUGUUGAUAAAGGAAAGUACUUUCUUUCUUUCACUUAACAUGACUUUUCAUAGGAAGAACAUGCAAAUUCACUAGCUGUAAAAGUUAUAAGGUAAAUAAAAGAGUAUCAUGAUACUUGAAAGCCAAAAGGCAACAAGGAAACUAAGGAAUCAUGGACCAAAAUAAUAUAUAGCAGGGCUUUAAUUUCUUUCCAAGGUCUAUUUAGAGGCAGAUAGAAACAAUGAACUCUUUUCACCAUGCUACUCUAAAUAAAUAGAGCACAAUCUCUUGAAGAAAACACACAUAUAUAUAUAUAUACAUAUUGUUACAGGUAGUCAAACUUAGUAAGGGUCCUUCCGGCCAUGAUAUGGUUCUUCUCUCUCCUCUCUCUCUCUCUCUCUCUAGAUACUUAUAUUUCAUCUCGAGAAUUCUACUCCCAAUAUAUCUCAGCUAACUUGAGCAUUCGAGGAACCUUUCACCAUGCUUUUAUAAGUCAAUUCAAGUCCUCUAUCCACUUUUAACAUAGGACUAAAUUAAGACUGUUAUAAUUCAGCUCUUGAGAUAAUAAGACCUGAACAGCUGAAGGAGAAGUAGCAAUUUAGCUGUUGAUGUUCCCUCACUGCUGCUUCUUGAUGCCAGGAAAUCUUCUUGGAUUGGUUCAUGAUACCUUUUACAACAAAUGGGACCUAAGAUUGUUGCAACUUGAAGGCAGGAAUUCUUCUUAGAUUGCUUCAUGGUACGUUGCACAAGAAAUGGAGCCUUAGAUUCUUGAAAGUGAGUGUGGAUCAAGAGAUGAAUGAUGGAUAUGGUGGAAAGUGGAGAAGACAGUGGUCAAGAAAAAGGCUAAAAGCUCCAAAGAUGGCAUUGCUUGUAAGCCAAAAUGUAGACCACUGAGCUGAGCUGUGGCGAUUGGUGGGUCACUCAACCACAUGGACAGCCUAUGCCACUGACACAACUAUUCUUCCUAAUGCUGACAAUGUCCUUGCUUAUCUAUCAUCUGAGAGCUUACUGCAUCAUUGAAUUAGGUAAAUGGCUUAGACUAAUCAAGCAUAAAGGCAUGUCCAAGAAGAAGAAGAAGAAUAAGAGAUGCUGGUAUGUUGGAUGUCUGUGUUGAUGAUGACGGAUGCCUCUGUUGAUUCACAGUGCAGGGUUGUCCUCUGGUAUUAUGAAUUGGAAGCUGCAUUAGAAUGCACUUGAUCAUCAUGUGCUGUUGUCUCCAGGAAUCUCAUCCCUUCCAUGUUGAUUUCCCUUCUCAUGGACAUGUUAAUGUCCACAGAUCUUUGGCUGCAGUCUUUCACUGAGAGAAUUUUCUACAACUUGAUGACACUCAUCCAGAGGAAGUACAGAAGCUGUUUUCUUCAAGUGUUUACAGAUCGAAGUCAUGAGAUUACUCCCACAUUACUGCAAUGAAAAGAAGAACCUGUGCAUUGUAGCUUGAAUCUAUUACAUCUAUUUGCUUCAAUACAUACAUAUAUUAUAUAUAUAUAUAUAUAAUUUCACCCCAACAACAGAGAAAAAGAUGAAGACCAUGAAAUCAUUCACGUCCAUGCACAAGAAGAAAGAAGAAAUCAGAAGAAACAAGGAAAGAAGCUACAGUAGACGUAACCAAUCCACGCAGGAUUUCUUCUUGAGAGGGAGGGCGAGAAAGAUGGAGGUGAGAUCACAAGGCACGUCAUAAAAGCCAUUUGGUGGAGCCUCUACCGUCCGCUUUGCAGGUCUCCGCUUUCUCGGGGCGGGCGGGCACACGACGGCCGGCCUCAGCGUGUGUUCCUCCGCCACCGGUGUCACGCACUCUUCCUCUUCGCCGUCCUUCGUUCUUGGACCGCCUUCCACGGGCUUUUCUUGUAUCAAGGAGGACGUCUUUAUAGCCGGAAGCAAAGGCAAUUCGCCCACGACGACCACCUCAAAUCCCAUGGACGCGAGAACCCGAGGAGGAGGAGGAGGAGGAGAGAACACAAAGACACAAGUCUCUGUGGGGAACAGGAGAGAGAGAGAUAGAGGGAAGGACAAGUAGUUAAAUAGUCACGUCCAUGAAAAGGAAGAUGAUGAUGAGAUGAUGGAAUGAUUUGUAUGAGGAAGGAGGGCCAGUAGAAAGACAGAAAGGUAUCAUUUACCGAAUGCAUGAAAGACUCAGAGGAAGCCUUGGAUCACUUUGCUGCUCAACCAUGCAUGUCUGCUCCUCUAUCAAUACCAUCAUCAAAGAAAUGAAUCAAGCUUGAAGAAUACAUGCAAUCAUAGCACUAAACAAGUUGGUGUGGGUGUCUUUAGGGUAAAGCUUGAAGGCCUUGGAUCUACAAAGAAAAGCUACCCCAACCACAUGGGAUUUGUAGGGUUGGAAGGGAUUAAGCUUCCCACCGAAGAGUUGUUAAUUGCUGCACCCCCUUCUUUACGUCAAAAGGUGGGAAAGAUUCUUAGAGAUGGCAAUGAUAUCAAACACUUCAUGUGGCUACUACCAAGCCAAAGAGAAAUUUUAUAUGCAGUGCCUUGUACAGCAGUCAACUCAUGGAUCUAACUUGAAGAAGGGAUUACAUGAUUAGUUUUAUCCUAAGAACACAUGGUAGAUGCCAUCCUCUCCUUGUCACCCACAUUAUGAUGAACCUGAGAUAGCAAGGUGGAUCACAUGAAAUGCAGGAAAGCAGAAGAAUGAAGAGACUGAGAAGAAUGUACAUACCAGCCACUUCUAAGCAACUAAUUAUGGAAACAUUUAACUAGGUGUCAAGUUCAAUGUUAAGACACACUCUUAUACCCUACAGCAUAAGAAAAAUAUUGUGAGAGGAGUCUAUGCAACCCUUGAGGACAUCAAGAGGUUGGUUGGUGGUGUGUCAAUGAUCAAAAUAAUCUAUACAAUGUUUUUUCAGAUACAUAGAGAAUUUAUAAAACAAUAGAUUAUCUUCUUACUUAUAUAGAAAUCUUACCAAAAUCUUUUUUUUUUCCUCCAAGCAAUCCAAUUGAAAUAAAGAAUAUAAUGCCAAUUUUAAUAGAACCAAAGUGAGAAGAUGAAGAAUUUGAUUCCCAAUAAAGUAGGAAGAUUUCAUGGCCUAAUUGUAUUUUAUUACUAUGUACUUGCUGACCAUACAAAUAAUUGAAUCUUUUAACAGGGUAGUCCAUGGGCUUGUUUGAGCAUAUCAGCCUAUUUAAGGCUCAUCUGCAUAGCAAUAAAUGAGAGCAAAGGACAUAUUAUUUAAUGGCCAUACAAAUAGUAGAGUGAGACAAGCAACCACAAUAUCCUAAAAUAACUCCCUCCCUUGGAAUUUCCAAAUUGCAUAUUUGAAUUAAUAAAAUGGAAUUAUGUUAAAAAAAGCUAUGCCAAAUAUGGGACAAAAUCUUGUAGAAUUCUAGUGUAAUUUCAUUUGUGCAUGAUGAGAUGUUGAGACCAUGAUGACAUUUUAAGUGAAUUAUUGCUUAUAAGACCCAUAGGUGAUUGCAUGUUCAAUGCAUUGCUUUUGGUUAGAUCUCAAUCAAGGUUAGGUCAAGCCAUUCAAUAUUAGCUAUUCAAAUCCCAUGUGUACAAUUUAUUUUAUUUAACAUAAAUAAAUUGAAUACAUCAUCUGGAUUACAAUCUGCAUGAUUUUUUUUUUUUUAAAUAUUUUGUAGGUUUAUUAUAAUUUAUUGAGAAGUUGAAUAAGAGCAUACGGAUCAGCAAAAAGGAAGUCAGACAAAGUCUACUCAUCGAACGGCUGAUAGCGUUUUGAAACCUCGUGAUUGGUGAAAGGCCAGACGUCGAUGUACCACUGCGGCUUUUAUUACUCGCAAAUGCUUUUCUUACUAUCAAAACUACACAGGCGAUGUCUACCUGCCUUUUAAUUGGAGAACAAGAGCUCUGCAGGCAAGCCCCACCCACUACCCAAUCACCCAACAGGUACAAGAGUGGAUGAGAAUGAAAGAAUAUAUUGCUUAUUUUAAUUUAUUCUUUUUCUUUUGUAUUUUCUUCGUUUUUUAAACACGAAAGACAAGAAAUCCACCCUCGCACGUACCUCUGUCUAAAGGUGGGUCCCCCAUCAGGUCUACCGUUUCCAUUUAGCAGCAACGGAGGUAGGAGAUUUGUCUGGGUAGACGAGAGUGUUGCUGCGAGUUUCGGUCUCAACGGAAGAGAAAACGAGCGAUCUUAGCCGUCGGAUGGACGUAUGGAUGGAUGGGCACCGUUGACACGAAUCUUAACGGUCUCUGUCUUCCUCCUCUCACCCACUAUAAAAUGUCCCGCUCUUCUCCUCGCUUCGCUCGCUUCGGCUUUGUGUUCUUCUCUUCUGAUGUUCGCUUACUUAUCUGCGAGUGAUGGCCGUUGAUCUGGUGGGGUACACAAAGAUGGACGACCGGAUCGCCAUCCAGGAGGCGACCGCCGCGGGGCUUCGCUCAAUGGAGCACCUCAUCCGUCACCUCUCAAACCCCCACCGCCACCAGCAGCAGCAGCUGGACUGCCACGAGAUCGCCGAUUUCGCUAUUUCCAAGUUCAAGAAGGUCAUCGCCAUCCUCGACGGCACCGGCCACGCUCGGUUCCGCCGCGGCCCAGUGGCGCCGGUUCCUCUGGCCGAGCCGUCGUUGCCAGCCGCCGCGAAGAGUCUUACCCUCGCGCCGAUACCGCUGCGCGUCAUCCACCCUCACCACCCGCUCCCGCCGCCUCCCAAGACGACGCUGACCCUCGACUUCACCAGGCCAGUCUCCACCGCUGCGGCUGGCGAGCUGCCCCCGCCCACUCGAUAUGGCAAGGAGUACUUCAGCAUCUCAAUGCCGAUGACGUCCGCGACGUCCUCGUUCGUGUCGUCCGUCACCCGAGACUGCAGCGUGUCGAACGGCAAUCUCGCGCUGUCCUCCCUCCUCCUCCCGCUGCCCGCCGCCGCCUCCGCCAGCAGGCCGCCCCUCUCGUCCGCGCCUAAGUGGCGGUGGCAUGAGCACUCUCAUGCCCACUCGGAUCACGUCGCCGGCAAGAACGCCGUCCCGGGCACUCGCUGCCACUGCUCCAAGAGAAGGUAAUCGAGCAGAUCUGCUACCUGCUUAUGGUAGCAACUCGUGCGCCUGGAUCAGCGCUCUAGCUAACCUACGCCGCGGUUGUGCCCCAAACUAAAUCACCAGUCUCGUUCGUGCUUUGAGCAGGAAGCCGCGGGUUAAACGGACGAUACGGGUGCCGGCGGUGGGCUUGAAGGCGGCCGACAUCCCGGCCGACGAGUAUUCGUGGCGAAAGUACGGGCAGAAGCCCAUCAAGGGAUCACCUUACCCCAGGCAAGGACUCGUUCUCCGCACGUCCGAUCUCGAACCAACGGCCCCAGAUUGAUCUAACGCCCUCUUCUCCUUUAUGGUGUUGCAGGGGUUACUACAAGUGCAGCACCCUGCGGGGUUGCCCGGCAAGGAAGCACGUGGAGCGGGCGCCGGACGACCCCUCGAUGCUGAUCGUGACCUACGAGGGAGAGCACCGCCACAGUGCCGCCGCCAUCUAAGGUCGUCCACCUAAUUCCAAGUUCCAAUCACGACCGCUCAUUCCAUAUGCAUCUUCUUUUACUUCCUUCUUUUCCUGUGAUAUAUUUAUGUACAAUAUUUCCAUGUUCCCCAAAGAAAUCCGAGAAAAUUUUGACCCAAUCUGGUGCGGUGGGGUGGAAGUGGGAGCCUGUGAUGAGGGUACGGUUUGAUGGCGGCAUUUUUAUUUUUCUUUGUCCGAGUGAGUGGGUGAGAUUGGAAGUUGAAGUAGGAACCAUAAUUAAGAAUCUGGUAAUAGAGGACUUAAAUGGUGGCAGAUCAACCCGCGCUAUCUCACUGUGCAGAUAAUUGACAUGCAUCUCAAGGUUGAAGUGAUUUAGUGGUUUAAUUUGUCACUAGCUGGCUACACAAUUUCUUUGUUGCUGGAGGGUUAUAUAUUUAAAUUUUGCUGGUGAAAAAAAUUACAUUUGAGAUAUUAUUGGAAUCAGGUUUCUGUGUGUGCCUGACAAAGGAAAAACAAAUAAUCAUUUUUUCUAAAAGAGGGAGUCUAUUAAGAUCUUACAGUUCUACAAUAGGACCUGUAUAAAGAAUGGAGGAUCACUCCAUAGAAUCAUGAGAACUUGUGUAUGCUGAAAGAAUCACAUUUAUUUUCUACUCUGAGGAGACACUUGAUGGUUUAAUGAUUGUGUGCAAUAUAGCAGUCUGGAUAUAUUCACAUAUAUAUGAUGUAAAACAUUUUAAGAAAAAGAGAUACUCUUAGGAACAAGAAAGAAAAUUAUUGGCAUGAGUAAUUUGGGUUCGAAAGGAUUCCUUGACAAUUACUUGAUAUAAACUACAAAUGUUUGUGAAACCUUUUACGAUGAAACUCUUUGGAUAAAAUACUUGAAAUGGAGAAUACAGUAGCACAUGCAAUGGUUGAGGUUACCAUUCUAUUAGUGGGACUUGACCUACCUGACUACUACAUGGAUAGUGGAAGAAGCUUUGAUUACUUUGCCAAAACUAAUUGGAUUUCAAUUGGUAGAUUUGACAUAGAUAUUGUAGUGUACUAUCUAAAUUUGACUUGUGCCAACCAAAUGAAGACAUCGAAGUGUAGAAAAAUGUAUUCCCGUGCUCACAAUUUUCCAACUUGAUCUAUAUGCAUAGUUCAUGCCCACUAGUAAGUGUCUUUUUCUGGCAUGAAUUAUAUAUUAAUUCUGGUGGGUGGUUGUGGGUCUUGCAUGAUGAUGACUGUAGAGGAAAUGCCAAUGCCCACUUGCCUUUUCUAGAUGAGGAACAAAUUCCUAUAUAUAUAUAUAUAUAUAUAUAUAUUAAUGGCAAUACAAAUGGAUGGCCUAAUAGUGUCAUAGCGAACUUGAGCAUUGUUUUUUAUGCUUUUAAUUUCUCAUUUGGACUGAUGGAUCCUCAAGAACUUUGAUUACCUCCAUUGUUAAUAAAUACAAUCGAUCAUUAAAGUGACGAGGUAUUGCUACAUAACCAUAAAGAAAUGUCACAAAAAAAAAUUCAUAGCAGCUCAUGCAUGUAAUUUUCCCAUUAUUUUGAUUGGCCUUUGAUCUCGGUAAGGAUGGAUAAUUUUAUACUUUUUAGGAUUAAAAAGACUUCUGCCACAACCAACCAUAAUGCCCAAUGUUCCAGCAAUUUAGGAUCAAUUACAUAAAUCUCAUCACCACUAUGCUUGUGUAAGAAAAAAAUAUAUGUCAACUAUCAGCAUAGAAGUGCAUAUAUAUUUUAUCUGAGAUCAGCUACAUAGAUCAUUACUUGCCGUUGAGUUCUAUAAAAGAUAUAAUAGUAUAUAUCAGCUAUCAGCUCGAAAGUAUAUAUUUUCAAAGUCAUACUAGGGUCUAGGAGAAAGAAUGUUCUAAUUAUUCAUGGAGCAUGCCGAGGUAAUGCAUGGCAAGUCUUGUAGAAAAUUAAAGAACAAAACAUGAAAUACCUAAUAUUACUGUAGUGAUUUUGAAGAUAAUAAUUCUUUACCAGCAACACAAUAGGAUACUAAUUCUUUGCUACUGUUGCGGUUCUUGUUUGUAUAACUUAUUUAUUUUUUUCUGUUCAAAAUGACCAGAAUACAGUGCUUUAUGGGUGGAUAUCAUGACUUUGUUAGGGUAUUGACAACUGUGUUAUUGACUAAGGUUGAGAUUUUUGCGGAAGAAAGCUGAAAUAGUAAAAUUACAAGAUAGAGUCAGGCAUCUCCUUAUGAACCCAAGAUGGUCUUUGGCUUCUGCUGGGUGGCCCUGUCAUUGCAUGCACUUGGGAGGAAGCAAAACAGUCUUCCAUGCACUUGCAGCAGAGCGACAAAGCUACUCGUGUUUCCACAAGUUCUCCAUGGAUUAUGAUUGCAGAUGCAUGGAAAAGUAUUCCACCUGUGUUUUUUAUGCAAGAGCUGAUCAAAUGCAUAUGGGAGAAACAAUUCUGCACUGUGGCAUCACCAGGGCAUGACCCACUCUGGAACGAGAGGUCGAAUGGUUUCAACCUCAUAGGCAGGGAAGGUAUUCAAAGAUACUGCACCUCGUUUCUGAUUGCUGCUGUAGUUGUUUACAAUGAGCUGUGUAACUGUAUGAUUGCUGCUGCAGGUUUACAAAGAAACAAGAGAUCAAAUGGUUUCAACUUCACAGGCAGGGAAUGGAUUCAAAUGAACUGUUCUGGUUGCUGCUGCAAUUUAUUUUUGUUGGAUGGAGCUCAAUAACAGACGUCUAAGAGGUCUCAUUUCUUCUUUCUAAUGUUAGCGUCACUUUCAAUGAGAUAUUGCAUGUCUAUGUCAAUUUGCUUCUAUUUAAUUAAUGCUAUUCUGGCUGCAGUUCCUUCUUGUGUUUUGCACUUGUCUCAUCUCACCUACUAAAAGAAAAGGUAUCUUUGCAGUCUUCCCAGUCAAUGAAAACAUGUUUAUCUUGUUGAGACCUUCCAAUUAGUGUCUUGUCCCCUGGAAGAUUCAUACAAUGCUGGGCCCAUAUGACAUCAAAACCUUGCCAACCUAGUGCCAGAAAACACAGGAAAUCAUGGACAGCCCCUUUAAGAAGUUUGAUGACAAUGGAUAAGUAGGCGUAGGUCUUGACAAGUUUCACAACUUGCCCACUGUUUUUGCAUGGUUGCCUGUCCUUUUCUGCCACCCAAUUAAUUUGGCCAUCCCUAUUGGAUUUGACCUUAGGUUUCCAAGAGCUGUGUUGCAAUUUUUCAUUUUUUUCUAAUGCUUAAGAAGUAUUAACAUGAAUCCAGCAAAUAAACUGGUGGAUUCAGAUUAAAAAUUGACAGCUCUAAUUAAGUAGAAUCAUGGAUUUUCUUUUUUAAUACAGUAGUGUUCAUCAAAUAAGGAAUUUUGAAUCUUAUAUCUUGAUAUAUGUGGCACUUAUUUUAUUGUAACAUUUAUCAGUAAUGCUUCUAUUUAGUGUUGGGAUGGGUGGAAACCACCUACAGUAUCUUCCUGUUGCAAUAUAUGCCAGGUGCAUGUCUUUUUCUUGAACCUUAAAAGUCAAAAUAGGGAGAGGUUAUUGGGCAAAGCAAACAAGAAUCUUUCUCAGUCUUAGAAACUUUGUUUGCUUAUAACAAAACUAGUAAAAUCCAAAACCAAAAUCACAUGGUCAAUAUUCACAAAAAAAGUAUUCAUAAAUUUUGGAUGAUUUGUAAUAAUUCUGUGAAAAAGAAUAGAAUUACAAGUCAUGGAAAGCAUUAGACUACUUAUUAACUAUUUUACAUAAUUAGAAAAUAUAGGAAUCAGAUUUUUUGAGUAUUUGCCUUAUAUAUGAUUUUCUUUCUUAGGUUUCUCCACCAAAAACAUAUGUAAAAUUAUGAAUGCAUCCAUAAAAAAGAUGAGCUUUGCUAGCAAAAUUUCAAUCAACUAAAACUUCCACAAUUACAAUUCAACUAAAAUAAAUUAAAAGAAAAAAGAUGAAAAAAUUGUUGGAUCAACUUACGAAUAAUUUUGAUCAUAAAAUCUUAUAUGUGGCAUCCAUCUUUAGAAUUUUUUGGAUUUUUAAUCAUAAAGGUUAAUAUCUAUUGUUUGAUAGUCAAUUUUACUUUUCAAGUUUACAAUUUUUUUUCCAAGAGAAGUUUACGAUCAUGCAGAUGACAAUCAACAUUGUAAAUCAUUGAUGUGAUAGGUUAAUAUAUUUAUAAGAAACCUUAUCAAUAGCUUGGGCUAUAGAGUUCAUGAAUGAUUUGUGAUGGGACACCAUGCAAGUUCAUUAUCCAGAUUCAUUUUAUUUCCACUCCAUCCAUGCUGAACAUUGAAUUCUGUUCCGAAAAACAAUAUGAUUUUGGUGUUUAUAUUUGUUUAAUUCAAAGAGCAAAAAUGAGGAAUUAGUGUAUUACCCAGAGGACUCCUUAUAUGCACCUUAUAUACAACACACCUACAAAAUGAUCGGGCAUUUGGAUGAUGUCUCUUAAAUGUCAUUAAGUGAGCCCAUUAAUGCUUCAGUUGGACCGUUGUGCUAUCAUAACUGUGCUAUGAUUGAAUGGUAGAACUAUUUUAUAAGAAUCCCCAUUGAUAAUAAUUUUAAUAUGCAAUAUACUUCUAUAAUAUAAUUAAAAUACAAUCACAAGGGUUAUCUUACCAUCUUCUUAUUCUUCAUUUUACCUCCAAAACUUUUUUUUCGAAACAAUAUUAUAUCAUUCAAGAGUGUGGGCUUUAGUAUAAUGCUAGGGUCGUUCAUUUGGGAGAUCAUAAUCUGAGUUACGGAAACAGUCUCUAUAUUUAGAAGGUUGCAUACAUUAACCAUUUCCUAGACCUUAAAUUAACGGGAGCUACAUGCACUAAGUAUGAGACAUAGGAUUAAAUGAGCUAUCAACAUUAGUCAUUGCAAUUGUUUUGCAUAAUAUAGAGAAAAUUUGAUUUGGUGGUCGGGAUAUUGAUAAUUAUUUUUGUUGAGCCAUAAAACCCAAAGUAAAUUUUUAAGAAGUCUCUAAUUGUCAAAGCUAGACUCUCUCACUCCAAUUGUCAAAGAACAUAAAUUAAGGAAGAUUAAGGUUCAAAUUUGUUCUAAAACGUUCCCAGAGUAUGUGAGCAUAGACACACUCAAAGAAGAUAUAAUUUGGAGAAUCAGAUUAGAGUUUUAAUGGUAAUUAUAUCUUGGAUUCCUAAGCCUCCCAAAUAGUUACAUAUCCUAACUAAUAAUAUCAUAUUUAUUUUUUUAAAAUCAUUUUCAUUCCAAUAGAACUCCCUUGGCAACCAACCAUCUUCCUAAUAAUUUUGUAAGACACCCAAUUAUUUAAAAGAAUAUAAGUAGGAAAGGAAUUAAGAACAAAAUCGAUCCUGACAACUUUACCAAGCUAUCGUAGACAAAUCUUUUUCAGCCAUCACACUUUAAUAUCUCUCAGGUAAUCUACCAAAGGAAAAUACAAAUUUGGUGUUUGAUCAACCGGUCACAAUUUGGUGGUUAAUCAUACCUGGGAUCUACUGGGUAUGUUUCCACUUGUCGGAUCGACAUGGCAAGAAUUCUCAGCUCAUGAUUGGGCAAGUCUUCUUGGAAAAUGCUUUGGGUGGAAUCAAAUUUGCUAAACAUCAUGUGUACAAUGUUAAAUUUUGCAUGUACUUGUACCAAACAUGAUACAGUGUGACCCUUGGUGUCAUUAGGCUUGUAUAGAGGCUUUAAAUGAUUAAAAUAGCCAGUAUUUGUUCAGUUGAUAUCUUUGUUACAUCGGUCAGUCUCCGAUGGGUUUAUAUGUGGAUGACAGUAUCUAAACAGAGUUAGCUUGGACAGGAGUUGUUUUCACUUUUUGUUGUGCUUGUUUUCUUUUUCUUCUUUUCCUGUAUGGUGGACAGAGUCCAUCUUUCAUCAAAUGCCAUGAUCAAGUUUUCCUUCUACCUGAUGGCUAGAUGAAAGCCCACUUUGCUAUGAAGGAUUGUUGAUGGCGUCAUGAGUACUUGGAAGUAUUGUUGAUUAGUGAAACUGUUGUGUACGGAAGAGUACAAUAUCAAGAAGUUCCAAAUCUAUCAGGUUGAGUAUAGACUAUAUUCUUGUGACUUGCUCUAUAUUAUUUCUCUUUUGCACAGAAUAAGUUGCAAAGACAGAUUUGAUCCCAAUACCUUAUUAUCAACAUCAAGGGCUUUACCAACUAACUAGGAGAGUCGAUCCAACUUAUGACUUAUGAGAGCCACGUGUUGUUCUUUUGAAUCUUCGAACAAAUUGAAGAUAAUGAGUCCCACUUAUGGGAACUCUUUGGGGGAAGUAUAUAGUAAGCAAACCUUUGAGGUCCAAUGCUUAAGAACAAACUUCCUUCUUCCUCCCCUUUGAGGAGUCUUCUUGAUGCCUUGCUUCUUCCUCCCCUCUAAGAAGGAUCUUAUCAAUUUGGAUGGAUCGAAGAGUUCAGCUCAUCUCCUUCUCGCUUAGUUGCUUGUGAUGGAUCUUAUCAAUUUCAAAGAUCAUUAUAAAGUUGAAUAUUUUCUUUCAAGUAUUUGCUAUCUAUAAGGUUGCUCCUUUGUAACAUUAGAGGGUGGGUACUGGUACAACAGUAAGUUGCUUCUUUGCACCUUGAGAGAUUAGGGUUUAAGUCACGGAAAUAACCUUUUCAUAUUUAGAGGUAAGACUGUGUAUAUUGAUUCUUUCCUGAUCCUGCAUUAAUGGAAGCCUUAUGCACUGGGUACAUACACCCUCUAUGCUCAUUUGCUAUCCAUAACAACCAUAAAUAUAUCCCAUUCAAGUAACAAGUUUGAGAAUAAAUAUAACUAGAAUAAUGCUAAGACUCCUCAAAGCACCCACAACUAUGUUUGUCUUUUGUAUAUAUCCUCCUGCUCACUAAAUAGGAAUUACAACUCCUGAUUUCUCCAAGUUUAUUUCAGCAAAAUCUUUCCCAAACUUCCAAACCAUUGAGAUAUUCUACCAAGUUGAGCUUGGGUAAUAGGAUUCUUAUAUCAAGAAACAAUGCAAAUGCAUAUACAGUGUAACAGUGGAGACAAGAUUUAUACGGUUUGAUUACUUUUGCCUAAAUCUAUGCAGAAAUACUCAAAUAUUUUAUUGCCAGAAUGAUAAAAUACAAAAAGGAAGAAAAUUCCAUUUUGAGUUAACUCAAAUCAAGCUCUAAUGUUCCUUGGACACCAUAUGAUAAAAAAUUAUGACCACUUAAUCUAUUAGAAAAAUACCUUAAGAGUUUAUAGAAUGUGUAUCUUUAACUUCACAUCCAUACUAAAAUUUUAGGAUGCUCAGAGUACUUAUAGACCAAUCAACCAUUGAAUUUUAAAGUUUUCUUUUGAAGUCUUUCCAAACUUAAAUUCUUUUCCUCCAAGUAACUUAUCCUCCAAAAAAUAUAAUUUCGACUAAGGAUUAAAAAAAUAUUGACCAAUUAUAAUAGUAAGUAUUUUCCUGUCUUGAGUUCCACUUAUCAUGAGUAGCUAAAAUGAUUUUGAAAUCUUUGACAAGCUUAUUACAAUAACUUUUAGCCACAAAACUCUUCCAUGACGGAUAUCACAGAGUUUGAAGCUAUGCUACUCCCAGCUCUUCCUGCUCAAGCUAUAUCAGGUGUUGCUAUGAAGAACAAUGAAGAGCUCUCUCUACUUAGCUAUGCAGUCAAUUAUCGUUUGAUAUUUUUGGGAAAUAAUUUUCAGCAUUAUGCAUUAUGCAAAACAAUUUGUUAAGUUCUUUAUCAUUUUGCAGUACUUUCCAUUUCUCAUCCCAAUAAACUGUUGAAAAGUAAUUUAUAAUUGCUACUGGUGUUAGUGGCCUUAAUUCUUCUUUUUGACAUAUUUGACUAGCGACCAUGUUUUAUACUCAUUGUUCCUUGUUUGUUAAGUCAAGUAGUGUCCAAUGAUCUCACUGUAGUUAAAGUGGUGAUACAUGUUCUAGUUUAUUUUGAAGCACUAAUUGUGUAGUGUCUAAAAUUAAUCUUUCCACUAAUGGAGUGGAAACACAAUUAGUUGUAAAGCGAGGUAGUUGAGUUGUAAAGCCUAUCGAUAUAUACCUUGGGUCAUGAAUCAUGUAUUGGGGUUUGACAAACUUAGGUCAAUCGAUGUAGGUUCUUGAAGAGUUCAUCGGUCUUGUUGAGUAAUGUAAUGGAUGUGAAAACACAAUUUUCUUUCGAAGAAUAGUAGACUCUUGAGAUGGUCACUAUCUUUGAUCAAUCAAGAUUUGACAAUCGAAACCUUAAAUGGUGGAAUAGUCUCUUUCUUUAUCUCAGUAUAGAGUAGCUAGGAAUGGUGUUUAAGGGUCACUUUCAAGGAUUGCUUUUUUGGAGUCCCAUGUAGGUUUAGUUGUUGUCAUUCGAUUAUCAAUGCUAGUGCUAAGGGCUGUUAGUGAGUGUCGUUAGACACAAGGUGUUGUUAGGGGGAGUUGUCUCCUUGGUGUAAUAUAAGAUGAAAGGUCAAAGGUAAUCUUUGUAAAUUCAAUUCUAAUUGUUUUUCAAUAGAGGCACUCACUUAAGUCGAAUUUGAUCAUUCAAAUCUUCCUUGACAAAAGCACCUGAAAUAAUAUCGCAAGCAUAUAUCUGAGUAUAAAGACAAGACCUCCAACCAAGAAUGAAAUUCUUAGUUGUUCAAAGACAUUAAUUGUAUGAAGCGAAUAAGACAAAUUCGCAUCUGAAAGGUUCUUAGCCUUACAUAUUUGAGAAUCCUCAUGGUCCUCUCUUAAACUCCAGAACAAAGCUUAAAAAAAAUAGAGAAAGAAUCAACCACACUCUAUACCCCAAAUACCAAUGAGAAUAUGACUAUCAAAGUUUUGUCAUCUUGGAUAUGACAACUAUUAAAUGCAACAUCUCAUAUUAACAAAAUAUCUAAAAAGAAUAUUUCGUCAUUUAAGCAUUUAAUCUUCUGUAACCUAUUGUGGUUACAAAAUAAGUGUAAUAUGGAGGCUUCUUCAACUAUGCUCUAUGGACUUUUUCCUUUCAGAAUAAAUAGGACAUUAUUGAAUACAAACAGGGAUAGAGUUUUUCAAUAAACCAUCUAUAGGAGGAUCAUGAAAGUUAGACCUUAAUGACUCAAGAAAGAUUUAUCUCUUGACCAAGUGAUCCAAUAGGCUCGGAUAGAAUUAUUUUGCUUCAACUCCCAGAUUACACUUUCUGUUGGAUUACACCUUGUCUCAGGAUAGAGGACUUCAUCAUUCAUAGACAUGAAUUUUAGGAAUAGUCUAUUUCUUCUGGCUGUUUGCAGCUUGACAUUAGAUCUUUUACUGCUUGUUAAAUUAGAAAAUGAUCAGCUCUUGCAAUCUUUGUUUGCCUGACAGAAACAAGAUGUGCUGAUUUAUGUUAUAAACAGGAGUUCCCAUGGUUGUUACUUGGCAUCCUGCAAACCCAUAUGCUUUCAAGAUUGAGUUACAACUGGUGAUGGAUGCAAGAGUCUUCCAAAGAUUGAAGUCAUAAACAUGAAGCUUUGCACUUCCAAAUUCUUCACCUUGGACCAUCUGCUAAUUGACUUUUUGAUACUAACUCUUUCUGCUGUUGCUGCAGGUACUGCUGCUACAUCUCUCUUAAUAAAUGCAUUAGCUUUUUGGUGUUUGACUCUACAAAAGGUCAAAUCAAUUUCUUAGUAGAGGCCACCUCUGCCACUUAUGUAGACAUCCCAACCACUUUUAUGGCACAAAACAAUCAUUCAGCACAAGCGAUAGGGAGAGUCUGUUGAGGUCAUUAAGUGCGAACCAGUAAGCUGUAAAUUAAUACUGCAUGUUAACAGUGUGCUGAUGAAUGAGGUAAUGUAGGCUAAAGGUAGCAUCGGUUACUGUCUUUUUCUCACAACUCAUAUGAGAUUUGACUGGGUUAUGCUUGUGUUGGCACAUUUGCUCCAUAUGGCACAUAACUUAUUCUACUAACUCUGAAGGAUUUGCAAGCUGAGGUACUAUUUGGGAGACAAGUAACACAUAAGCAACUUUAAUUGAUAGUCGUCCAUUAUGAUCGACCUAUUUAUCAUCAUCAGGAAACCAACAAAUCAAUCUUAGAAACCAAAUCUACAAGCAAAGGAAUCAUUUAAUUUACACAAGUGCCAUAUAUGAUCACACCAGAUCCAUUUGGUGAUGCUUGUUUCCUGGAGAAUUGCAUGACAACUUUCUUUUACUGGGUAGUGAAAGGUUAGAGCAGCUCUUGUUGUAGUUGACUUCAGCUCAAUUACAUCACAGAAGAAGAAUUAAGAUUGAUUCAUAAAUCUUACACUUGAGGACAAGCAGAUACAUAGUAAUCUGCCGUGUUGACAGAGUCAGCAGCAAAGUGACACCCAACAAGAUGAGCACAAUUGAAGACAAAUGUAUCUGACUAAGCUCUAUAGAAGAAGAAGUCAAAAGGUUGGAGCUUUAGCUUAGCUUUCAUAUGAUGCAAUCAAUAUCUAAAUUUCAACUUUGGAAUCACCAUUGGAGGAUCAAGAAGAAAGAAAUGGAGCAUGGAAAUAUCAUGUUUCUUCUCUAUUUCAUGUUCAACACAGUGUGUCCUCUCUUCUCUACUGCUCUCAAUCUUGGAAAGACAAAACAAAGAACAAACUCUAACAUCCCUUGACAUAUGGUGGAAGAACGCAAACUUAAUUGGCCAUUUUAAGUCCACAGUAGGUGAGAGAGAGAGAGAGAGAGAGAGAGAGAGAGAGAGAACAGUCGUUCCCCUGACCCUACACGUUUCAGGUUUCCGGAGCUAUGAAUGAGCGCAUGCUGCUGUUCAUGGAGUCCCUUCCCAUCGACCGACCGAAGGAGCGCUCCUCAAUUGCGUCGAGCUCCGGGCGCCACGUCCGGGCCCGCGACGCCAUGGGAUUGCCCCGGCCGAGCCCCAGCCACACGGGACCGCUCGGAGGCGGCGGGGGCGCCGCGGGGGGCGCGGCGACGCCGCCCCUCUUGGCGGCUGUGGUGAGCCGGGUCAUCAGGGUGGCGAGGUCGACCGGGGACGACUCCGACUGGAAGACAGCGUGGGGUAGGAGGAAGUAGAGGCGGCCUGGCUCGAGGCAGUCGUCGGGCCGGAGCAGGUUGGAGCCGAAGGCGAUGAGGUGGGCCGAGGAGAGCAGCACGUGCGUCGGCGGCUUCCCCGUGACCUCCCCCACCGUCACGGGUGCCUCGAAAUCCUCCACGUACCCGUUCAUGUGGAUCACCCGCACGCAGCUGAACGUCCUCGCUCCCCUGCACGACAUACAACCCCCCAUUUCUCCCCUCUCUAAUUCAGUCUCUCUCUCACAGAUGAAGAAGAAGAAGAACAAAAGGAGAAGACAGAAGUAUAUAUGCGAAGGGGAUAAACAACAGGUUAAUAUAUACACUAUGUAUAUACUGCACUGCAAGAAAGAUUGAGAGAGAGAGAGAGAGAGAGAGCGAGAGAGAGAUCGAUCUAGUAACACAGCGUAAAGUACAUAGAUUUAGAGAAGAAAGAGAGAGAAGAGCGAGGAGAUAAAGAACAACAAAAGGAGAAGACAGAGCAAUCUGAAGGGGAGAAAGAACUGGUUAAGAUAUCCAACAUGUAUAUUCUACACAGCAAGAUAGACCGCGUAUAGAGAGAGAGAAAGAGAGAGAGAGAGAGUUGACUCGUUCAAAAAGCCAAGGACGGGUCGAUAACGUGUGGACGGUGCACUGCAUUUAGCUUGCAUGCGUUUUCUAAUGAAAUGACAAUGUUAACCUCAUAUUUUCUACUAUAAACAGCUGCACAUUUUGAGGGGACGAAGGGUACUUUGGGCACUUCAUAGGUGUGUGUGUGCGUGUGUGCGUGUGUUGACCCAUUAAAAUUUCUUGUCGUGUGGGGUUGGCGUGACAGAGUAUGAUACAAGCUGAGUGAGAUGUGGAAGUAACUUGGAAUGGGUGUGAUGUGCCAAUCUGCUGCCUCUCAACAAUGGAUUAGAUGUCAGCAAUAACACACGUUCCACCUACCUGUUUGAAAUGGUGUAGGAGUUGGUAGUCAAAGAUCACAAUGUUAAUAAUUACUAAUGAUGCUUUCAUGGAUAUUAAUGGAUGCAAUUAACAAAGGGUUUUUCUGUCUUUGAAAAUAUCUUUAUUUAAAGGGUUAAUUAUAGAUUAUCUGUGUAAUUAGUUAUCAUCGCAAUCCUAAUUCUUAUAUUUUUAAAAAUUAUAUUAAAUUUUUUAUAUUUAUGAAAAUGAAACAUUUAAAUCAAUUUCUCCUCACGUAAUCAAUUUUAUUAAUAAAAAUAUCAUAAAGUUUAUCAUUGAGCCUACAUUGACUUUAUCUUAUUUCGUUUAUCACAAAGUACGUAUAGUAUUUUCGUCGACAGAAUUGACGACAUAAGCGAGAAACAAGAUUAAAUAUUUUACUUUCAUAAGUACAUGAAUCUUAAUAUGAUUUUUGAAAAUGUAAAAAUUAAAAUGCUAAAGAUAGUUAAUUACAAUACGUAAUAUGUAAUUAGCUCAUAUCUAAAUGCUAAUUAAAGUCCUAAUCAUAUUAGUAACUUUCCAUCAGCUUUAUUAUGCAUGUGGGGGCAUAUGAUUAGGGUUCCUAAUCAUAUGCAAAUUGAAGUUAAUCCUCACUGUAUUCUUGCCUUUUUUUUUUUGUCAUUCAUUUGACUUUGACUUUGAGAGCAAAGUGAGUUUCACGUUUUCUUUUCUAAAAAGAAAAAUAAUGUGAUACUUCAACAGGAUUGAGAAAUAGUCCAAAUAUUUUACAUUAGAUUAGCACAGUGGGAUCAAGUUGGCUGCAAUAUACAAUGGAAAAAGGGUGUGAUAUACUUUUAUGUGGGAAGACAGAGAAUCAAGAGAAAUAAUAGGAAAUGAGAAAAACAUCCCUGUAGUUUAUCACAAACAAAUAGUAAGAGGAGGAACAAUGAUUAAUCUUAACCAUCUUUUGAAAAUAGAUGAUGAGUGAAAGAUAGUUUUAUUGUUACAAAGGAUAAAUGGUGAGGAUUGUUAUUAAUGGUUAAAAUUCUUAUUAGGUAGGUUAGCUAAUAUUUAUAAAAAAAUAUAUUUGAUGAUAUUUUGAGCCUUUAACUUUAAAUAUAUUUGAUAAUAUUACAAAGGAUGUUUUAAGUUUGAAUAAACUAGAAUUUUCUCAACAAAAAAAAAGAAGCAGAGAAGCCAUUAAACAUUUUUUUUGAUAUAUUAAGUCCAUUUCUACAAUUUUACCACUUUCUGGUAAGGAUUAACCUUCAUGGAAAAUCUUGAAUUUAGCAUUGAUUUAGAGUUUGGUUUAAUUUCUAAUUCAAAUUACCUUUAGUAUUUGUUCUACAUUUUUCUACCUAAAACACAUUUUUCCUUCUU
rnacentral:lncRNA from 1 species